CCUACGGGAGGCAGCAGUAGGGAAUCUUCCACAAUGGACGAAAGUCUGAUGGAGCAACGCCGCGUGAGUGAAGAAGGGUUUAGGCUCGGAAAGCUCUGUUGGUAGUGAAGAAAGAUAGAGGUCGUAACUUGCCUGUAUUUGACGGUAAUUACUUAGAAAGUGACGGCUAAGUACGUGCAAGCAGCCGCGGUAAUACGUAGGGAGCAAGCGUUGUCCGGAUUGAUUGGGCGUAAAGCGAGUGCAGGCGGUUCAAUCAGGCUGAUGUUAAAGCCGUCGGAUCAACCGGCGAAUUGCAUCCGAAACUGUGGAACUUGAGUGCAGAAGAGGAGAGUGGAACUCCUGGUGUAGCGGUGGAAUGCGUAGAUAUAUGGAAGAACACAAGUGGCGAAGGCGGCUCUCUGGUCUGCAACUGACGCUGAGGCUCGAAAGCAUGGGUAGCGAACAGGAUUAGAUACCCGAGUAGUC
rnacentral:rRNA from 1 species